UUGUAGCUAGUUCAGUCACAUUGUAAUGUUGGAAUCAUGUAAGGUUACUACUUUGCUAGUAGAUCACAAUUAGUAAUAUAAUAUUAGCAGGAAACUAA